UGGCGUCGAGCUAGGAAGACCAAGGAAACGUUGGAUUGUUGCUUCGGUGGGUGAUGGCUUCGCUGGGUGACCGUGAAGACGCGUGGCUGAAGACAACGGACAAAAGCAGCUAGUGGUGAAGAACGUCCGUGGAGAGGGGGCUUCGUUGGUGAAGGCGUGCAGCUGAGUUGAUGGAGAAACACGAGUUGCAGACGUUAAGACCGAAGCUGUUGAUGUCUUCAGUGGACUUGGACGCGUGGAGGUGCAAGUGCGGUUGUUUGGUGGUCUUCGUUUGGGAGGGCUUCACUGCUUCGUUGACUCAAAUUGCUGCUGGCAAGAGGCUGAUGAAAUCGUGAAGCUUCAGUGAGUGGAGAAUGGGUGUUGUUGGCGAAGGGGUUGGCUGCGGGCGAAGGAAAUGAAAGAAGGGGCAG
rnacentral:lncRNA from 1 species